rnacentral:lncRNA from 10 species
CGCGGGCCGCCGGGCCGGGGUCGCCGCCCGGGCUCGGUCAGUCGGUACCUUCAUGAAGGUCUCUACCGCGCCUUUGGCCGUGUCCAGCCUCGUCCCAAAUGCCGUGGGAGGGAAGGCACUCUCUGUCAAGCUGCUGUCACCUUACCUGAAGUAAGGAGUCCACGCCUGCAUGUCCGAGGAAAACAGUUUUCUCAAACACAUUAGUUGAAAAACUGAAGACGCUGCCUAAAAUACAAGCUGAGUUAGAGACAGCCCUUGUAAGACUAGAAAAAGAAAUGGAAACUAAGUAACAUGAAUUAACAUAGUCCAGGGUCACAAAGCAACAUGGAACAAGAACCUGGAUCUGAAUUCAGAGGCAGAAUGCUGGGCCUGAGAAUCAGGAGAGUCAAUGGUAUUAGUGCUUGUCCGGAAGCCAUCAUGCUUCAAAACCAAGAAGAGCUGAUUUUCCAGUUGGAGUCUAAAGGUUGGGUUUCCCAAGAAGUAGAUUCUGAGACAGAGAGUUGUGUGCAGGCGUCUAUUGAGAAAACACUUGUGAGGGCAUGAGGAAGUAGGACAGCGGCAGAGUUUGGCCUGAGGAAAGGCCUUGUGAGGACAUAACCAGGAAGAGAGUCCUCACCAGAACCUGACCAUACCUGCACCCUGAUCUCAAGCUUCCAGCUUCCAGAACCAUGAGAAAUCAAUGUUUGUUGUUUUAGCCACCCAGUCUACAGAAAUUUGUUAUAGCCACCCUAGCUGACUACCACAUUGGACAUCACAGC